UCUCACAUUUAAUCAUUUAAGGUGGUACCCAACACUUUCACUAAAAUUAAUUUGGCUCGUUUAAUUUUCAUAAAAUUUUGUCAAAAUAUUUACUUUGACCCUUUAACAAAAAUAUAAAAAUUAAAAAAAUUUUGAACCAACCGUUUUGUCAGAAAAAUUACACUGGUUAUAUAGCAGUUUGACAAACACCAAUUUUGAUCAUUGCGAUGCUUAAUAUUCCCUUUACAACACAACGUAAUUAAAACGUUAGCUGACUUUACAGAGUUAUCUCCCUGUAGUGUUAGGU
rnacentral:lncRNA from 1 species